rnacentral:rRNA from 1 species
UCUGGCGGCCUUAGCGCAGUGGUCCCACCUGACCCCAUGCCGAACUCAGAAGUGAAACGCCGUAGCGCCGAUG